GGGAAUUAUUUGGAUAGUACAAAGUUAAGAAGAUGAAAAAAGCUGUCUUACCUGGAGUUCUUAUACAGGAUCUGAGGACUCACACCCACUUCUGUGAACAUCAGCUGUACACAGACUACAUUCUAAGUUUAUAGCAUUGGGAUACAGAACACAAGUCCAGGGGACUGAAGAUCAAACAUGCC